CUUAGAGAUCUUUAUGUCAGCAGUGAAUGAGACCAGGAGAGCAUUAGGUAAUAGUGCCUGGAUGGCCACAGCAAGAAAUGUGCAUUAUUUGCAUAAUCUACAUAAAAUGCUGUAGAGGGUGCUGGGCAGGUUUUCCAGUGAAGUCCUUCUCUUGUCCCUGAGAAGAAAUGGAGGGGCCUCUUCACUGGCUGAUGGACAGGACAGUCAUGGCACAGGGAAGGGCAGGUGGCUCUGCUGCACUAUGUCCCCAGGAGGAGAAACCCAUACUGCUUUUAGAGAGAUGGACAGGUGGAGCUACUCCCAGAGAGAUAAGGAGAUCUUACAAGGAUGCUUUCAGAGCAAGAGGAACUGGGGAGGAACAUGUCCCUUUGGUCACCCAUGCUCAGAUCACCACCAGCAAGGGCUGCAACUGCCCUGUCAGGAGGUGCCUCUGUUGAGGAGUUUAUGGAAUCAGAGGGCGUUGGUUGGAAGAUUUGUGUCACUGGAGAUGGGGCCCGUGAGGAUCAUACCUACUUCUGGUGCAGGCUGAGCUCUUUUCUUCCUGGCAGCUACAGGAAUGUGACUGAUGGCUACAAGAUCCUAUUGCUAUGUUCUUCCUACCUCAUGGACCACAUUCUCCAACCCAGUAGCCGGAAUAAGCCUUCGCCCUUAAGUUGCUUGUAUCAGAUAUUUUAUGCUAGCGUAUGGGGAGGUAAUGGUGCAGCAAUGUGUGUCUCUGCAGUGCACAUAUAUGGAAUGGCUGUGUUAUGGGGGAGGCAUAUGGCUUGUUUUAAGAGAUUAUUGCUCUAGCUUUGUUUUAAUUUUUU
rnacentral:lncRNA from 1 species